rnacentral:rRNA from 1 species
AGCCUAUUCGGGGUGGAUUAGUGGCGAACGGGUGAGUAACACGUGGGCAAUCUGCCCUUCACUCUGGGACAAGCCCUGGAAACGGGGUCUAAUACCGGAUAACACUCUGUCCUGCAUGGGACGGGGUUAAAAGCUCCGGCGGUGAAGGAUGAGCCCGCGGCCUAUCAGCUUGUUGGUGGGGUAAUGGCCUACCAAGGCGACGACGGGUAGCCGGCCUGAGAGGGCGACCGGCCACACUGGGACUGAGACACGGCCCAGACUCCUACGGGAGGCAGCAGUGGGGAAUAUUGCACAAUGGGCGAAAGCCUGAUGCAGCGACGCCGCGUGAGGGAUGACGGCCUUCGGGUUGUAAACCUCUUUCAGCAGGGAAGAAGCGAAAGUGACGGUACCUGCAGAAGAAGCGCCGGCUAACUACGUGCCAGCAGCCGCGGUAAUACGUAGGGCGCAAGCGUUGUCCGGAAUUAUUGGGCGUAAAGAGCUCGUAGGCGGCUUGUCACGUCGGAUGUGAAAGCCCGGGGCUUAACCCCGGGUCUGCAUUCGAUACGGGCUAGCUAGAGUGUGGUAGGGGAGAUCGGAAUUCCUGGUGUAGCGGUGAAAUGCGCAGAUAUCAGGAGGAACACCGGUGGCGAAGGCGGAUCUCUGGGCCAUUACUGACGCUGAGGAGCGA